AUUAAACGCUGGCGGCAUGCCUUACACAUGCAAGUCGAACGGCAGCACGGGGGCAACCCUGGUGGCGAGUGGCGAACGGGUGAGUAAAGCAUCGGAACGUGCCCUGGAGUGGGGGGAUAACGUAGCGAAAGUUACGCUAAUACCGCAUAUUCUGUGAGCAGGAAAGCAGGGGAUCGCAAGACCUUGCGCUCUGGGAGCGGCCGAUGUCGGAUUAGCUAGUUGGUGGGGUAAAGGCCUACCAAGGCGACGAUCCGUAGCGGGUCUGAGAGGAUGAUCCGCCACACUGGGACUGAGACACGGCCCAGACUCCUACGGGAGGCAGCAGUGGGGAAUUUUGGACAAUGGGCGAAAGCCUGAUCCAGCCAUGCCGCGUGAGUGAAGAAGGCCUC
rnacentral:rRNA from 1 species